rnacentral:rRNA from 1 species
ACUCCUACGGGAGGCAGCAGUGGGGAAUAUUGCACAAUGGGCGCAAGCCUGAUGCAGCCAUGCCGCGUGUGUGAAGAAAGGCCUUCGGGUUGUAAAAGCACUUUCAGUUGUGAGGAAGGUGGUGUCGUUAAUAGCGGCAUCAUUUGACGUUAGCAACAGAAGAAGACACCGGCUAACUCCGUGCCAGCAGCCGCGGUAAUACGGAGGGUGCGAGCGUAAUCGGAAUUACUGGCGUAAAGACGCAUGCAGGUGGUUUGUUAAGUUCAGAUGUGAAAGCCGGGGCUCGAACCUCGGAACCUGCAUUUGAAACUGGCAGACUAGAGUACUGUAGAGGGGGUAGAAUUCAGGUGUAGCGUGAAAUGCGUAGAGAUCUGAAGGAAUAACCGGUGGCG